AACAAGCGGAGAAGAGCACAUUAACCAGCAAGUGGUCAUUUUAUCAAUCUUUGACUCAGAUCUGACUAAAUUGAUAUGCUGAAGCCUUGUCCCUUGAGAAUUCAAUUUGCAAAUCACUUUAUUGUUCAGUGGGAGCUACUUGUAAGUUACUGGAACAACUAACAGUUCUGUCAGUAAGUUGGUAACAGUCUGGUUGUGGUAUCAAUGGUACAGACUGGUGGGGAGCCCCCAGAAAGUGGACUACCUUAAACCAAGACACUGAAAAAGCAUUUAAGGACUAAUCAAAUCCUGACCAAGAUUGAUUAACGUCGUUUUCAUCUUUUGAGAAGCAUCGCCCGUUUCAUAUCUGUGAUGUUGGAUUUUUUCAAUAAGCGCACAAGCCCCUACACGUUUGUGCUUUAAAAUUUUUACGGCCUCUUUCAACAGUUAGAAAAAA